rnacentral:rRNA from 1 species
CCUACGGGAGGCAGCAGUGGGGAAUAUUGGGCAAUGGAGGCAACCCUGACGCAGCGACGCCGCGUGAAUGAUGAAGGGCUUCGGCUCGUAAAGUUCUGUGAUGGGGGAUGAAAACAAUGACGGUACCCCAAUAACAAGCCACGGCUAACUAGGUGCCAGCAGCCGCGGUAAGACGUAGGUGGCAAGCGUUAUCCGGAAUGACUGGGCGUAAAGGCGGCGUAGGUGGUGUAGUAAGUAAGUGGUGUAAGCCCGGGGCUCAACCCCGGCGCUACCGCCAAAACUAUUAGACUAGAGUGCAGGAGGGGUAAGUGGAAUUCCUAGUGUAGCGGUGAAAUGCGUAGAUAUUAGGAGGAACAUCAGGGGCGAAGGCGACUUGCUGGACUGUAACUGACACUGAGGCACGAAAGCGUGGGGAGCAAACAGGAUUAGAUACCCCAGUAGUC